CCUACGGGAGGCAGCAGUGGGGAAUUUUGCGCAAUGGGGGAAACCCUGACGCAGCAACGCCGCGUGGAGGAUGAAAUAUCUUGGUAUGUAAACUCCUUUCGAUGGGGAAGAUAAUGACGGUACCCAUAGAAGAAGCCCCGGCUAACUUCGUGCCAGCAGCCGCGGUAAUACGAGGGGGGCAAGCGUUGUUCGGAUUUAUUGGGCGUAAAGGGUGCGUAGGCGGUUUGGCAAGUCUUAUGUGAAAUCUUCGGGCUCAACCCGAAGCCUGCAUAAGAAACUGCCGGGCUUGAGUAUUGGAGAGGUGAGUGGAAUUUCCGGUGUAGCGGUGAAAUGCGUAGAUAUCGGAAGGAACACCUGUGGCGAAAGCGGCUCACUGGACAAUAACUGACGCUGAUGCACGAAAGCUAGGGGAGCAAACAGGAUUAGAUACCCUGGUAGUCCUAGCCCUAAACGAUGAUUGUUUGAUGUGGCAGGUACCCAAUCCUGCCGUGUCGAAGCUAACGCGAUAAACAAUCCGCCUGGGGAGUACGGUCGCAAGGCNGAACGUACGAAAGAAGUAGACGGCGUGAGACGUUGCCGAACGGACGACGACGAGGGAGGUAGG
rnacentral:rRNA from 1 species